CAAAAUAAAGCUUUAUUAGUAAAGUUUUUCAUUUACACUGAGAAUAUUUUCGUGCAAUUCGAAUUAUUUUGA
rnacentral:tRNA from 1 species